rnacentral:rRNA from 1 species
CCCUUAGAUGUUUUGGGCUGCACGCGUGCUACACUGAUAUUGCCAAUAUGUCAUUCUUAUCCGAAAUGGAUUGGGUAAUCAAGUAAUGAAAUUUCAUGCUUGGAAUCGGUAAUUGCAAUUUUAUCGUGAACGAGGAAUUCCUAGUAAGCACUAGUCAUCAGCUAAUGUUGAUUAUGUCCCUGCCCUUUGUACACACCGCCCGUCGCUACUACUGAUUGGGUGUUCAAGUGAGAUGCUUAGACCCUUGUUGCAUGGUUCAUUAUUGUGCUCCGAAAGGAAAAAGUUUCAAGCUUGAGUGUCUAGAGGAAGUAAAAGUCGUAACA